AUACGGAGGGUGCAAACGUUGUUCGGAAUUACUGGGCGUAAAGUGCGCGUAGGCGGUUUGUUAAGUCAGAUGUGAAAGUCCACAGCUCAACUGUGGAAGUGCAUUUGAAACUGGCAGACUUGAGUACUGGAGGGGGUGGUGGAAUUCCCGGUGUAGAGGUGAAAUUCGUAGAUAUCGGGAGGAAUACCGGUGGCGAAGGCGACCACCUGGCCAGAUACUGGCGCUGAGGUGCGAAAGCGUGGGGAGCAAACAGGAUUAGAAACCCCAGUAGUCC
rnacentral:rRNA from 1 species